UAGGGAAUAUUAGUAAUGGGCGAAAGCCUGUACUAGCAACGCCGCGUGUGCGAAGGAGGCCUUCGGGUUGUAAAGCACUUUUUGAGAGGAUGAGGAAGGACGGUACUCCCAGAAUAAGUCUCGGCUAACUACGUGCCAGCAGCCGCGGUAACACGUAGGAGGCGAACGUUAUCCGGAUUUACUGGGCGUAAAGCGCGUGUAGGUGGUUUGGUAAGUAGGGCGUGAAAGCUCCUGGCUCAACUGGGAGAGGCCGUUCUAAACUGCCGAACUAGAGGAUGGUAGAGGGAGGUGGAAUUCCGGGUGUAGCGGUGGAAUGCGCAGAUAUCCGGAGGAACACCAGUGGCGAAAGCGGCCUCCUGGACCAUUCCUGACACUCAGACGCGAAAGCUAGGGUAGCAAACGG
rnacentral:rRNA from 1 species